AUCAAUAAGCGGAGGAAAAGAAACCAACAGGGAUUGCCCUAGUAACGGCGAGUGAAGCGGCAACAGCUCAAAUUUGAAAUCUGGCCUUUGGCCCGAGUUGUAAUUUGUAGAGGAUGCUUUUGGCGCGGUGCCUUCUGAGUUCCCUGGAACGGGACGCCAGAGAGGGUGAGAGCCCCGUACAGUCGGACACCUAGCCUCUGUAAAGCUCCUUCGACGAGUCGAGUAGUUUGGGAAUGCUGCUCAAAAUGGGAGGUAAAUUUCUUCUAAAGCUAAAUACCGGCCAGAGACCGAUAGCGCACAAGUAGAGUGAUCGAAAGAUGAAAAGCACUUUGAAAAGAGGGUUAAACAGUACGUGAAAUUGUUGAAAGGGAAGCGCUCGUGACCAGACUUGCGCUCGGUGGAUCAUCUAGCGUUCUCGCUGGUGCACUCCGCCGUGCUCAGGCCAGCAUCGGUUUCCCCGGGGGGAUAAAAGCUUCGGGAACGUGGCUCCUUCGGGAGUGUUAUAGCCCGCUGCACAAUGCCUUCGGGGGGACCGAGGUUCGCGCUCCGCAAGGAUGCUGGCGUAAUGGUUACCGGCGACCCGUCUUGAAACACGGACCAAGGAGUCAAGCAUUAGGGCGAGUGUUUGGGUGUAAAACCCGCACGCGUAAUGAAAGUGAACGUAGGUGAGAGCUUCGGCGCAUCAUCGACCGAUCCUGAUGUUCUCGGAUGGAUUUGAGUAAGAGCCUUACCGCUUGGACCCGAAAGAUGGUGAACUAUGCCUGUAUAGGGUGAAGCCAGAGGAAACUCUGGUGGAGGCUCGCAGCGGUUCUGACGUGCAAAUCGAUCGUCAAAUAUGGGCAUGGGGGCGAAAGACUAAUCGAACCAUCUAGUAGCUGGUUACCGCCGAAGUUUCCCUCAGGAUAGC
rnacentral:rRNA from 1 species